GAUGAACGCUGGCGGCGUGCCUAAUACAUGCAAGUCGAGCGAACAGACGAGGAGCUUGCUCCUUCGACGUUAGCGGCGGACGGGUGAGUAACACGUAGGUAACCUACCUAUAAGACUGGGAUAACUUCGGGAAACCGGAGCUAAUACCGGAUAAUAUUUCGAACCGCAUGGUUCGAUAGUGAAAGAUGGCUUUGCUAUCACUUAUAGAUGGACCUGCGCCGUAUUAGCUAGUUGGUAAGGUAACGGCUUACCAAGGCAACGAUACGUAGCCGACCUGAGAGGAUGAUCGGCCACACUGGAACUGAGACACGGUCCAGACUCCUACGGGAGGCAGCAGUAGGGAAUCUUCCGCAAUGGGCGAAAGCCUGACGGAGCAACGCCGCGUGAGUGAUGAAGGUCUUCGGAUCGUAAAACUCUGUUAUUAGGGAAGAACAAACGUGUAAGUAACUGUGCACGUCUUGACGGUACCUAAUCAGAAAGCCACGGCUAACUACGUG
rnacentral:rRNA from 1 species